rnacentral:tRNA from 1 species
GGAGGGAAGUUUUAUUGACCAGUUUAAGCUUGUUGACCAAACGCGGGUGGCUGUAACCCACUUCCUCACGGUUCGGGGGUUCAGAAUCCCUCCCCCUCCACCA